CAUUGCCCCAGGGCCGGGCACAGGUGCAACGCGGCUUGAUCACCAGGGCUCUGGCCUCUGCUGACCGCGGGCCUGAACGCAGGACCCCACUGGUCCUCUGCUGCCACCUUGUGGCCACUUCCCAGAUGGCAGGUAGGAGCCUGAGAUCUUUCUCUGGUUCCAGUUCCGGGAAACUCUUGGGCCCCCUGGAGCCUUGCCCACCCCCGGAGUGCUUCGUGUGGCCAAAUACUGUGGGCGAUUAUCGGGGCCUGGAACCAGGCUCCCGGCUGCAGCUGCUCUUUUCAUCCGUGCGGAGAAUAAUCGAGAAUAAUCUGUCCGGCGAAGGCCAAGAGAGGAAGAGGGGAGAGAAGUUGGAGGCUGUCACCGUGAGGAAUGACAGGCGCUCUGGCCGGGAUAGGACAGCGGAUACAGAGGAUGGAUUUGGUGCAUGUUGCAGAGUUCAAGUCUAUGGGAUUCGCCCACGGCCUGAAGGUGGAGGAGAGAAAAGAGCGGGAGGAAGGGACAUUUCGUUGAGGGUGUGACACGUAGGAAUUCAUACAUUCGCGCAGGGGCCACCGGCCGGUUCAUUUGUUCAGCAAAGACGUGGGGCCUGCUCUGCGCCAGGUCCCUGGCAGGCCGGGGGAAGAGCAGUGAGAUGUGGCCCCCGCCCUCAGACGUGGCAUAACGCAGGUGACAGACAUGUCAGGUAUGCGAUCGAUGACAGACCGGGGUGCGGGCAGGCCGGGAAGUUUGGAGGGGGGCACGGGGCUCCUCAGGUGAGGUAGCAGUGGGGGAAGCUUCCUUGAGAAAGAAGGAUCUGAAGGAUGAGGCGACUUGAACCGGGGCCAAGGGCAGAAAAGGGAAGAGUGUUUCAGGCAGAGAGAACGGCAUGUGUGCGGGUGUUUGAAGGGAGGCUCUGUGGCCAGAGUGGAGGGGACGGGGCGGGCGAGCGGAUGUGGAGGAGGCUGGGGCCAUCCCACGCGGUUGCGGGGCUUGAACAGAGGAGCGCCCAGGACCCCGGUCGCUGAGUGGGCCCGGCUGGAUGUGGCUGUGGAGACACAGAGAAGGAAGCGUGGGGCUCCAGGUGACCGACCGCCUGGACCAAGCUUUCAUUUUGAUUCUAGAAAAACAAGGUGCUGUGGUAUUUCUGGUGCCUGGAGCUUCUGGAGGAAAAGUCACACCCACCCCAUGCACAUGAAUGCAUAAAAAACCUCUGGAAGGCUCCACAGCAAAACCUCAGUGGUCUUUAUCUCUUGGUGCUGAGGGCGUGAGUCGUUGUUUUGCUCUUCCUUUCGGUGUUUUCGUGUUUUUGCAUUCUGUCUUAAACAUGGACUACUUGUGAAAUGACACGUCCUAAUAAAUUAAAAAGAAAAAAGUCUUGCCCUGAAGAC
rnacentral:lncRNA from 1 species